rnacentral:lncRNA from 1 species
GUCGUGACGGCUCUGCUGUCGCCGUUUGUCGUGCCCGGGUCCCGUUCCUCUCACUACUCUCUCUCUUGCUUGAGACAUCACCCGCCACCACCCACCACAGCGCCGCCGCCUGUGGUGGUGGUGUUGUUGCUGUUGUAGUCCGCCACCACCAAAAAUGGUGGUGGCCGGCCGAUAAUAGAGGGGGGGUGAAGGUGGGUUUAGGGUUUAAUGUUCCUUUAUGUGUGGAUGUUUGAUUGUAGAGAUGAUAAGGUUUCAAUUCCAGAUUUUCUUUUAUUUAGCUGAGUUUGGAUGAACAAGAGAGGAGAUGGGCACUGUGCUUGUGUGCGCAGGCCCGCAAGCCCGCUUCUUGUGA